ACCAGGCCUCACAGAGGCCAUUUGAGCAUUUGUGGUGGCCAUUUUGUUUUCAGCUGCCAUUUAAAUUUUUCUUUAAAAAAAUGUCCACCGCACAUGCUCAAAUGGUCCCUGUGAGGCCCUAGAGGCCAGCAGGGGGGAGGGGGAACCUUUGCAGACCCCCCAUGGCCUUUAUGAAGCCCCCUGAAGGGGCUACAGGUAUACAUGUUUUAAGUCGCUGUACACAUGUUCAGAUAUAUGACUUGUAUGUGACCUUCAGACUUGUAUUUUUCAGCUGAUAUUAUGGUAAAAAGUUAUCUGAAAGAUGGGUGUCAGAUGUUUGGACAGGGGGCGCAAUUUCAAUGCUUGCCCUAGGCACUAUUUUCCCUAGAUACGCCUCUGCAUGUACUGCUGCAGGUUGCAGUACCGGCUCUAGUCUCUCUUCAGUUUGGGCCUGCAACAGCGUGCGCGGACUUGGAGGAAGGAAGAAGGAAGGACGACGACGAUCAUCAGAGUGAUCACAACAACAACAAUAAAGUCUGUUGGUGCAGCAUCCAGUUUCGUUGCUGCUUUCUGUUUACUCUCUCUCCGGGGGUUGUAAAUCCUGUCGGGAUAGCCGGGCUAUCAGUUCACGACACUGAGGCAGAAGUCAGGAGUCAGAAGACGGCGCGGGCAGUGGCGCAAGUGGAGCGACCGAGAAAGGGCGGCGGCGGCGCAGAGCCUAUCUUCCCCUUCCCCUCCGGCUAAAGCUGCUGGCCUGGUGGGGUUGCACGUGGCGUGCCGCACCAGGUCCUGAGGGCUGGCUGGCCGGCCGGCCGGGCAGAAUCCAGGUGGCAGAGCGGCCCCAUCCCCUAAAGGGAAUAUCUUACAGUGCUCACACAUCAAGUCUUCCAUUUAUAUGCAACCAGGGUGGACCCUGCUUAGGAUCCCCUUCAGGACAAACUGAGCAUAUACCUGGUCCUGAAGCAGGCUUUUCGGAGAUGGAGGCUAAUAAAGAACUGAGUCAGAAGUGACAAGAGAUGAUGUUCUAAACUGUCUGCAAAAAUUAAAAACCAAAGCAAAUCGCCAAGGCCGGAUGACAUCCAUCCAAGAGUCCUCAAAGAACUCAAAUGUGAAAUUGCCGACCUCCUUGCUAAAAUAUAUAACUUAUCCCUGCAAUCAGGCUCUGUACCGGAGGACUGGAAAGUAGCAAAUGUAACAUCGGUUUUUAAAAAGGGAUCCAGGGGCUAUCUGGGAAAUUACAGGCUGUUGGCGGCACCCCAACAUAUUAGACCCAGAGGUACCGGCCCAGAAGUAUAUGGAAUUCAGGCCUGUGUCUGAUUUCAUUUUAUAUUAAGAGUUCAAUUAAAUGCCUGAACUUGAGGUGAACAUGACACACAGAUCUCAUGACUGCCUGGUAAAUGAUUUGUAAAGGCAGGGGUAAUCUAGCAUUGUUUAUCAGUGUUUGUGGAACUCACAAGAGACACAAUGGGUCAGACUUAAUUACCAGUCUCACACUGCUUGAAAUUAACCUGCUGUCCAGUAAUCCCCUUACUUCACUGACAGGAUGCUUCUGCCUCAGUCAAAUGUAUUGAUUAGCUCGCCUCACACAUGUACCCCUUUUUAUGUUACUUUAAAUAUUCUCUUGUUAAAAUUAAACACUAGAUAGAGGUACACAAGAAACAAUGUAAGUGCUGUCUCACACAAACAGAACUAAUUCUCUCACUAACUCCUGACUUUUAACACCUUCUGGGACCAGGCUGACAAAUCUGGGACAAGAGAAGGGGCCUAUUUGCAACUCAAAAGAUGCAGAUUUGCUUUGGGCAAUGUCCCCCCCCGCCUCCCCUUCUAAGCUUACAGCUUACAGAAGAUGGGAUUCAGAUCCCUCUGGACUGGCUGAAUAAUUAAAAGACAUACAGGUGAAACUCGGAAAAUUAGAAUA